UUUGCAAAAUAGUCACUUUUCAC
rnacentral:siRNA from 1 species